GGUGUUAUACUGUGGAGCGAUGUUAUACUGUGGUUAGACUUAAAACUUCUCUGUGACUUGUUUCCAGGAUAAAGCCAGUGUUGUUUUUGGCAGGCACCUCAGUU